rnacentral:miRNA from 1 species
CUUGGCACAUUGGAAUUGGCAC